UAAAACCUCAUCUUCGUCAAAAGAUUUCACAAAAGUGAGUGCUGUCUCGAGCCCAAUCCCUUGGACACCUUUUAGAUCAUAAUCGUUUCCAACCAAAAGGGCAAUGGCUAUCAAGUGGUUUCUUUUUAGCCCUAAACCAGCUUCGAUGUCUGACAUAUGAUAGCACUCAAAUGGCAUUACCUGUGAGUUGGGUUUGAGGCGCUUAAUGAUGCACUUGGCACCAAACAGAAAUGCAUCACUGUCAGAGGUGAUGCAAGC
rnacentral:lncRNA from 1 species